GCCUACGGCCAUACCACCCUGAAAGCGCCCGAUCUCGUCUGAUCUCGGAAGCUAAGCAGGGACGGGCUUGGUUAGUACCUGGAUGGGAGACCGCCUGGAAUACCAGGUGUUGUAGGCU
rnacentral:rRNA from 1 species